GAAUGAAGAAGGGUUCUCGUCUUGUAAAGCUUUGUUGUUAAAGAGAGAACCACGUAAGAGGAGUAACUGUUCAUACGUUGACGGUAUUUAACCAGAAAGUCACGCUAACUACGUGCCAGCAGCCGCGGUAAUACGUAGGUGGCAAGCGUUAUCCGGAUUUAUUGGGCGUAAAGAGAGUGCAGGCGGUUUUCUAAGUCUGAUGUGAAAGCCUUCGGCUUAACCGGAGAAGUGCAUCGGAAACUGGAUAACUUGAGUGCAGAAGAGGGUAGUGGAACUCCAUGUGUAGCGGUGGAAUGCGUAGAUAUAUGGAAGAACACCAGUGGCGAAGGCGGCUACCUGGUCUGCAACUGACGCUGAGACUCGAAAGCAUGGGUAGCGAACAGGAUUAGAUACCCUGGUAGUCCAUGCCGUAAACGAUGAGUGCUAGGUGUUGGAGGGUUUCCGCCCUUCAGUGCCGGAGCUAACGCAUUAAGCACUCCGCCUGGGGAGUACGACCGCAAGGUUGAAACUCAAAGGAAUUGACGGGGGCCCGCACAAGCGGUGGAGCAUGUGGUUUAAUUCGAAGCUACGCGAAGAACCUUACCAGGUCUUGACAUCUUGCGCCAACCCUAGAGAUAGGGCGUUUCCUUCGGGAACGCAAUGACAGGUGGUGCAUGGUCGUCGUCAGCUCGUGUCGUGAGAUGUUGGGUUAAGUCCCGCAACGAGCGCAACCCUUGUUACUAGUUGCCAGCAUUAAGUUGGGCACUCUAGUGAGACUGCCGGUGACAAACCGGAGGAAGGUGGGGACGACGUCAGAUCAUCAUGCCCCUUAUGACCUGGGCUACACACGUGCUACAAUGGACGGUACAACGAGUCGCGAACUCGCGAGGGCAAGCAAAUCUCUUAAAACCGUUCUCAGUUCGGACUGCGGGCUGCAACUCGCCUGCACGAAGUCGGAAUCGCUAGUAAUCGCGGAUCAGCAUGCCGCGGUGAAUACGUUCCCGGGCCUUGUACACACCGCCCGUCACACCAUGAGAGUUUGUAACACCCAAAGUCGGUGGGGUAACCUUUUAGGAGCCAGCCGCGUAAGGUGACAGAUAGUACCAGGGUGGGGCUCGUUGCGGGACUAACCCAACAU
rnacentral:rRNA from 1 species